AUUUGUAAAGGCUAGAAUCACAGUGACACUGAUGCUCUAACUUUCGGAAAGCCGAUAACUCUUCGCGUUGAACCAAAGGAUGUGCCUCAAUCGAAGCCUACUCUUUCAAUAUUAACUUCUACGGACAACACUGAGCUGUGUCUGGCUGCAGGGUUCUCCCCCAAAGAAGGCACCUUGUCUUUGUCCCUGGAAGGAGAAGCUCGACAAGUUAAUAAAUCUGUUGAAAAUGCUUUGCUGUCCAAAGAUAAAACUUAUUACUAUGCUGCAUUUUCCAAAGGAAUUGACAAAUGUGAAAUGGAAGGUGAAAGCGUAAAAAAAGGUCAAGAAACAGGUAAGUGUUCAUACAGUAAUUUCUUUUAUUGAUUUAGUUUCCAAAAUAAGCAUGAUAGAUAAAGCUAAAUGAUUAUACACAUUUUCACAAAAAUCUUCAUGGUAUUUUUCUCAGCAAAAGCAACAGAAGCACCUCUAACCUGUGAAACGCCUAAUCCCACUUUGACAAACACCACAUCUUAUAAUAUCAUCACGUCUCAUGGUGAUCCUAAGGGAAACACCAUGCUGCUGGUUGUGACUGGACUCAGACUUCUCUUGGCUAAAGCAGUUGGUGUAAAUAUAAUGAUGACAAUUAAAGCAUUUCUUGCCUAAAGUUAAACAAAAGCAGAGCCUUUGCUUCAACCUCUUGCUCAAUAUAAAGAUGCUGGUAUACAACUCCACAUUAAAACCUUCAGUGAAUUCAAUUUGACUCUGUUUAUAUAAGUCGUGAAGGAUGAAAUUAAAGCUGAGGCAGGUAAUUUUGGUGUUUGUAAGUGUUUAUUGACAUAAUUUUUUUUUUAUUUGUUGUUUAUAAAAGUAUAUUUUCUAUGUUUUACUGUCUUUGGUUUUCUGCAUAAAUUUCUACACAAGUGUUUAAAAUGUAUUUUAUGUUAGUUUGAUUUAUAUUGAUACAUUUGUCAAGUCUUAUAAGAACAGAUAUUUUUAACAAGAAGUUAGUUUCUAUUAUAUUGCCAUGUGAUAUUUCAUUUCAA